rnacentral:misc_RNA from 1 species
AACGCAUAUGGCACCCGAGACCUCGGUCGAGGGUAUGUCUGCCUCAGAGUCGGCGUAAAACAACUCCUCUCAUGGCUGAUGCUCAGCUCAUGCAGGGGGAACUGACCUUCCCGCGCCGUUGGUGCGGGUUGGUCGAAGGAGAGAAACGGGUAUUACCUGGCCGGAGCACCUCCUGGCCGACCGAGAUUUGUUGGAAGGAUUUCGAUCCGAUCUUCGUCUCGGGAACAGGGAGAACAGCACCGCCAUGGUUGCCCGCUAUGCAGGAAAACGGAGGUACACCCCUCCCUCACCUUCCGACCUGAGUUCAGGCAAGAUCACCCGCUGAACUUAA